rnacentral:rRNA from 1 species
GACGAACGCUGGCGGCGUGCUUAACACAUGCAAGUCGAGCGGUAAGGCCCUUUCGGGGGUACGACGAGCGGCGAACGGGUGAGUAACACGUGGGUGACCUGCCCUCAGCUCUGGGAUAAGCCUGGGAAACCGGGUCUAAUACUGGAUAUGACUCCAUGACGCAUGUUGUGGGGUGGAAAGCCUUGUGCGGCUGAGGAUGGGCCCGCGGCCUAUCAGCUUGUUGGUGGGGUGANGGCCUACCAAGGCGACGACGGGUAGCCGGCCUGAGAGGGCGACCGGCCACACUGGGACUGAGACACGGCCCAGACUCCUACGGGAAGCAGCAGUGGGGAAUCUUGCGCAAUGGGCGAAAGCCUGACGCAGCGACGCCGCGUGAGGGAUGAC